rnacentral:rRNA from 1 species
AUUGAACGCUGGCGGCAGGCUUAACACAUGCAAGUCGAGCGAGCGGAGGACGGGUGAGUAAUGUCUGGGACACUGCCUGAUGGAGGGGGAUAACUACUGGAAACGGUAGCUAAUACCGCAUACCAUCGGAUGUGCCCAGAUGGGAGUAGCUAGUAGGUGGGGUAAUGGCUCACCGAGGCGACGAGCCCUAGCUGGUAUGAGAGGAUGACGAGCCACAGUGUAACUGAGACACGGUCCAGACUCCUACGGGAGGCAGCAUUGGGGAAGAUUGCACAAUGGGCGCAAGCCUGAUGCAGCCAUGCCGCGUGUGUGAAGAAGGCCUUCGGGUUGUAAAGCACUUUCAGCGAGGAGGCGUUACUCGCAGAAGAAGCACCGGCUAACUCCGUGUCAGCAGCCGCGGUAAUUC